UCGAUUAACCUCCAAGUUUAAUUUUCUACAGAGAAGCUAGGAAAUCUUCAAGUAGACCUCCAGCGCAGAAAGUAAGGGACAAUCUCAUUUACAAUUACCCCCCAACUUACGGAGGCAAGGCAGGGAAGGGCUACGAUGAAGUUUACAUCUUCUCGUAGUCUCUCUGAUCAGAGAGAGCGAUUCUUGUAAGAUGCCAAGUUGUGGAUGAAGCAAGUUGAAUCUGUUGUAAGUUUGUGAGAGAUGGAUACGCCAGGCUCUGUAAAAUGUAGCAAGUCAUGGUCUGUUGUAUUGUGAGAAACGUAACAACUAGACUUGUAUUGUCGUUGUGAUGUAAUUGGGUUUUCAGAUAUAACGCCCAAAAUCCUUCCUGUAUUUUGGAAUAACUCCUUGUGUCUUUGUAUUUCGAUGCAACUCUGUGAUUUAACUUUUUAAUGCAACUUUCAACAUGAAUAGAGAAUAUAUACUACUAUUAAUUA